CCCUUCAGGGCUACGUGCGAGGUCGCCUGGCAGGUGUGCUCGUGCUCUGUCCCUGGUGGGGGGUCUCCUAUUAUCUGUGACUCGGCGUAAAGGCCCUCCAGCCUGCAGAGAGGACGCGAGGGCUUCCUCACCGCAGCCCCAGCCUUGCGUUUCUCCGCAAGGUCACCCAGAGGCUGUAGAACGGUGUAUUUGCUGAACUGCUUGACCCUGUGAUCCAAGAGCAACACAGUGGAUAUGAGCCCCAGACCGUGCAAGACACCACUGACCUGGAUGCCAGUAGGAUCUCUUCUGGCUUCUCUGAUGAGCAGUGUGUAUUAUCCUCCAGUCAGAACUGGCCGCAGUGUCUGGGGCUCAGUCUGCCUCCAGCCUGCACCCAGGCCGAGUGAUGGCGUGGAUUAUAUUGUGGUGAAUGUGACGAGUGGCCUGAAAGGUGACAUGGCUGGACGUUACUCCAGGACCACUUCCUGUUUGUUAAGCCUGUGUUCCUACUGCUGCCCCAGCAGGAAUGGCUCGAAACUGGCUGGCUGCUUGUGAAAUGAGGCUGCUUUUUAUCUCUUUCAACCUCCAUGCCAUGAAAUGAUUCUUUUCUCUGUCCCCCAAUUGUCAUCUUGCCCCUUGAAUGCUUUACCACCUGCCCUCGGGCAUCACAGCAAGAAGAGUUCCUUGAUCUGGAUGCAGAAUAAACCUCUUGAGAGAAAAAAAGCCCCUACUGAUUAUUGGAGAAGGACUAUUUAUGCAAGCAAGAUGGCUUUGGAGAGGUAACUCGAAGCUCCAAGAAAGUACUUGAUGUUUUUAUAUGCUUAUAGCAAAUUGAUGUUUUAACUCUAGUUUUAUAGAAAGUAGGAGUGCUUUUAUGUACUUCAGAAUGUUCGUAUGCUUCAGAAUGUUCAUAUGUUCAUAUGGAAAUUGGUUAAAUGUGUAAUUAUUUGAAUUUAUGUCAGCACGUGUACACUGCGCUGGGUCACUUAGGUCUCCAUUUGUGUGUAAUAUUAAUAUGCAGCUUUUGUUUUAAAUUUUUUUUCA